GUGAGGAAUAUUGCGCAAUGGAGGCAACUCUGACGCAGCCAUACCGCGUGCAGGAAGAAGGCGCUACGCGUUGUAAACUGCUUUUAACCGGGAAGAAACCCCAGGACGUGUCCUGGGUUGACGGUACCGGAGGAAUAAGCACCGGCUAACUUCGUGCCAGCAGCCGCGGUAAUACGAAGGGUGCAAGCGUUAUCCGGAUUCAUUGGGUUUAAAGGGUGCGUAGGCGGAGCGUUAAGUCAGUGGUGAAAUCCUGCAGCUUAACUGUAGACUUGCCAUUGAUACUGGCGCUCUUGAGUGCGCUUGAAGUGGGCGGAAUGUGCCGUGUAGCGGUGAAAUGCUUAGAUAUGGCACAGAACACCAAUUGCGAAGGCAGCUCACUAAGGCGAUACUGACGCUGAGGCACGAAAGCGUGGGGAUCGAACAGGAUUAGAAACCCCGGUAGUCC
rnacentral:rRNA from 1 species